rnacentral:tRNA from 1 species
GGGCGUAUGGUGUAGUUGGUUUAUCACGCCCGCUUUGCAUUCGUGUUGGUGGCUUGCGGGAGGUGUUGGGUUCAAUUCCCAAUGCGUCCA